UGACCACCCCUAACGGUUUCCGGACGUCCGUCCUAGAGCUCUGCGCUUGUGACUGUGUUUAUUCUCUCCCUCCACACAUUCCUCUUCCCAUGCACUUUCCUUCACCUUUCCAGCUGACCGGGUCUCCUCUUUCUCAUGGCUCUCCCCUGCCCACCCCACCGAGCUGCUUUCUCUGCGCCCCCGCUCUGAUAGCAAGUGCAUGUAACGGGGCUGCAAGCACAGACCCUUGGCUUCAGGCCGACCCACAUGCAGUUUCCGCCUCUGUCUCUUACCGGCCUUUUGCCUUUGGGCAGUUCCUCAACCUCUCUCAGCCUGAUUUCCUCAGCACAGCGAGGGGGAGGCGAUGCUUAGCUCACAGAGCUGGGUGUGACUGCCAAGAACCUCUGCCUUCCUGCCCUUGGCCCCCAUCUCCUUCCCCUCCCCUGUCACCCCGGCAUGGUCAGCCCCCUCACUCCUCGGAGUCUUUCUCCAUCCAGCCCCAAGAGGGAGGAAGAAGAUCCAGAGGCCAGCUCAGGACAUAAGCUGCGUCAGCUUUACGAGUAUUAAGUCUCCUCAGGGUUGAGCACCUCUGCAAAAGGCGAUCAAGUGAGCGUUUCUGAACUUGUAAGAUGGACGCAGCGGGACCUUGGCAAGGGGCAGCCUUUCCAUGAGUGUCAUUUUGCAGCAGGCAAUAGCUUCAUCCCCCUGAGGCAGGGGUGGAGGAGCAGGUGCCAGCCAGAGCCCCAGAAAAGAGAGAGGCAUGCUCCAGAGCCCCCGUUUUCUUCUGAAUGCUGCUCCUUGGGAUGCAGGUUCUCAGGAACAGGGCAAUUGAUUUCUGUAUGGCGGAUACAAAGGCCCACGCGACACGGGAGCUGGAGAGACACUACGACAGUCCAUCAAUGCCAGGCAUGGUGUUUGACCUGCAUCCUUUUCAAAGGAGGCAGCCUGCCAGUCGGCUUGGUACCCCUUGGUGAAUUCUGAAAACCCCGGCACUGAAAAAUACUUCUCCUUGUCAAUUAAUCGAGCCACAAAGUCAGCUCAAGGAGCACAUAUUUGCUGCAGAACUGCCUGUAUAGCAAUGUUAGGUCCACUGAACAGUCCCAGGACUAUGUGAGAUACAUGGGAAAUGUGGAGAAGGGCUCAUAUUUACUAAGCAUCUACUAGGUGCAAGGAUCUUGUAGAUGCAUUUCCAUUUAUAAUAACUGAGCAAGGUGGAUGCUAUCAUGGCACAGGUGAAAGAACAGAGGCUUGGGAGCCUGAGGAACAGGCCUAGGGCUGCAGAGCCGGAGGGGCAGAGCCUAGACUCACAUCAGCAUUGUCUGAUCCCCGGACCUGGGUUUCCCACGCCGCUGCUUCCCACGACCCUGCACGGCCGCCAAAUGGCUAAACGGUAACACUAGGAGGCUGGCUUCGUGUUCUGCUGCGUCACUGUCUUGUGACGGGACUGGUUUGAGCCAGGGGGGUGCCUGGGGAAGGGGCUGCUUUUGUUGAAGUGCUUCUUCACGUGUGAGUAGAUGAGAGGCUGUUAUGGGCUGAAUUAUGCCCCCUCGAACUAGAUGUUGGAGUCUUCACCGUCAAGACCUCAGAAUGUGAGCUUAUUUGGAAUUAGAGUCUUUGCAGAGGUAAGCCCAUUAACAUGAGGUCAUCAUGGUGGACCCUAACCCAAUAUGAUGGGUGUCCUUAUCCAAAGGGGGAAUUUGGACACAGACGGACAUGCGAGAGGGGAGACGUGUGACGAGACGCAGGGAGGUGGAGGUGCAGGGCCAGAGGGAAGUGUCUGUAAGCUAAGGAAUGUUGAGGACUGCAGGCUGGGAGAGAGGCCUGGGAGGAAGAGCCUCAGAAGGAACCCGACCUGCCGACACCUCGAUCUCAGAUCUCUGGCUUCCGGAAUGGUGAGAUAAUACAUUUCGGUUAUUUUAAGGCACCAAGUUCCUGAUACUUUGUUCUGGGAGCCCUCGGACACUAAUAGAGGGACCACAGUAGUGGCUUCAGCUUCCUCUCUUUUGUCGGGGCAUUCGGCUUAGACAGGCCGCUUCCUCAGCAAAACCAAAGCCCCGCUGCUUGCACAGCUUGACCUUCGUCACGGGGCUCUGGUGGCGGCUAGUCACACUGACGAUGCCCUGCAACUCGCCCCACCCUGAAGGGGCUGUGCUGUCCCAGGAGUGCAGCAGGCUUUGCAUGGAGCUAGGUGUAGAGACAGAGGAGAGAAACCACAGAAAGGCACAUGUUCACCCCGAACGCUGUCCCGUCCCCCGAAUUCUGUUUAAAGUCUUUAAAAUUAGGAAUUUUAGGGGCACCUGGGUGGCUCAGUCAGUUAGGCUUCUGACUUCGUCUGACUUCGGCUCAGGUCAUGAUCUUGCAGUUCGUGGGUUCGAGCCCCGCAUCGGGGUCUGUGCUGACAGCUCGGAGCCUGGAGCCUUCUUCGGAUUCUGGGUCUCCCUCUCUCUCUCUGCUCCUCCCCCAUUUGCACUCUGUCUGUCUCUCUCAAAAAUGAAUAAACAGUAAAAAAUGUAAAAUAAUAAAAUAAAAUUAGGAAUUUUAACUAA